UACGGAGGGGGCUAGCGUUGUUCGGAAUUACUGGGCGUAAAGCGCACGUAGGCGGCUAUUCAAGUCAGGGGUGAAAUCCUGGAGCUCAACUCCAGAACUGCCUUUGAUACUGAGAAGCUUGAGUCCGGGAGAGGUGAGUGGAACUGCGAGUGUAGAGGUGAAAUUCGUAGAUAUUCGCAAGAACACCAGUGGCGAAGGCGGCUCACUGGCCCGGUACUGACGCUGAGGUGCGAAAGCGUGGGGAGCAAACAGG
rnacentral:rRNA from 1 species